GAAAACGGGUUUGGUAAUCAAACCACGUUUAUACUAAAAGACGGGUAAAUUACCUUUAGUGGUAAAAGUAACCCGGCGAAUAUUAGGAUUCUUAAAUAAACAAGAACUUACUAACUAGGAAUUUUAACCUAGUUAGCUAAUAUUCUAGAAGUAACUUAUGAUAGGGUUAAAAACAACCAAAACUAUAUGUCAAACAAAAGAUGAGGGGCCUAAGUUGUAAGAAAUUGAAAUUAUAUUACUAAUUUUAAUACAAAUCAAAACCAAACACCCAUUAAGGAUGUCUGGUCGUACAGGAAAGGGCAGGGGCGACUCCCCACUCUUCAAAACCCUAGAACUUCACUAAUCUUGCAAAUUGAAGGUCCAAUUCAGUCCAAAAUCGAAAUUUAAGCAUGGAUUAUUAAUCCUCAUCACAAGAGGAUUAAAAGUUUGAUCUCGUUAAGCUAAGUGGGAGCUGGAAAGGAAUGGAUCAAACGGAUCAUGGAUGCGAAGAAUGUUUGCGCGGACACGACGGUAAAACGGCUUAUGGAAUUUACGUGGCUAUGAAUCAGCAAAUUAUUAAGGCAAGGUAUUAAAACGGGUCAAUACUUUGACCCGCGCCAGGUACGCGUAAAUUUGGUGAAAGAUAUGUGAAUACCUUAAUGUAGAAAAAUGACAUGUGAAAGUAGAGAGUAGGAUUUAAACUUAAAUGAUUAAAUCCUCUCUAACGGGUCAAAAUAAGAACUUGAACGUAAAUGGGUUCUAACUAAGUAAGAAACCCAUGAUUUAUGAUUUAUUUGAUAGGAAAUAUUGAAAUUAUGAUUUUCAUGAGUUUAUAGAGCAAGUAAACAUGUUUGUUUGAUAAAAUCGCGAACAGGUUAAAAUUUGGUAAAAAUGGUAAUAAGCCGAAGACUUAAAAGUCUUAAAUUUUGUUAAUUCGGAUGUUGGAUUUUGACUCCAUAUUAUGAAGGGUCAAAUUACAAUCAUGUAGGAAGAAACGGUGGGUCAAACGGAUAAGCGGUUUGAAAGAUACGAAAGUUUUCGUGCCAAUAAACGGCAAAAUAGGAAAGCUGGAAUGCAGGGGCCACCCUUACGGUGUCACCGUAAGUUAUGGUGGAGUUGAAGGCUUUACGGCAGCCCCCUACUGAUUUACGGUAGGGGCAUGUCACACCAGGGGCCAUCGUAACUUACGGUGCCACCGUAAGUUACGGUGGAGGCCAGUUGGGAAAUCCAUGUUUUGAGAUCAAGAGUUUAACGUUGGGAAUUCUUUUUCCUUCCAUUAUCAUUACCGGAUUUGUUUAGAUUUAUUUCAAUCCACGUAUGACUAAAGCAUUUCAUGUUUAUGAAAUGUAGGUUCAUUUUGGAUGCCGAGAGACGAUCAAGCUCAUCGAAGAACCGAACACGAUAUAGUUACAUGCUUCCGCACUUUGCCACGUUGUAUAUUUUAAACAACGAAUUCGAUCACGUUUUGUAGAAUAACUUAUGAAUUGUAAAUGUUUUAAUUUACUCGAAAUUUUCUAAGGAUACUUAACCUUAAAUACAUGUUUGUUUUCGUAAAUUAUACGAAAACCUUUAAAAUAAUAACUAGGGUGUUACAAGUUGGUAAUCAGAGCUCAUGGUUAAAGAGUAAAGUGUGUUUGGUUCGAGGCUUGAUCGCAAAUCCGGACACUCGCAUCUGAAGAUAGCGGGAGUUUAACAAAUUGCGGAUAUGAUGAUGGAACGGUCCGAGAUGUGACAAGAAGAGCAUACUCAUCAAGGACCUAAAUCGCGUAACGAUCGCAAAUAAGUAAUGGCAAGGAAUGCCCGUCGGGGCAAGCAUUACCAGUUUGAUCUCGUCAAGCUAAGUGGGAGCUGGAAAGGAAUGGAUCAAACGGAUCAUGGAUGCGAAGAAUGUUUGCGCGGACGCGACGGUAAAACGGCUUAUGGAAUUUACGUGGCUAUGAAUCAGCAAAUUAUUAAGGCAAGGUAUUAAAACGGGUCAAUACUUUGACCCGCGCCAGGUACGCGUAAAUUUGGUGAAAGAUAUGUGAAUACCUUAAUGUAGAAAAAUGACAUGUGAAAGUAGAGAGUAGGAUUUAAACUUAAAUGAUUAAAUCCUCUCUAACGGGUCAAAAUAAGAACUUGAACGUAAAUGGGUUCUAACUAAGUAAGAAACCCAUGAUUUAUGAUUUAUUUGAUAGGAAAUAUUGAAAUUAUGAUUUUCAUGAGUUUAUAGAGCAAGUAAACAUGUUUGUUUGAUAAAAUCGCGAACGGGUUAAAAUUUGGUAAAAAUGGUAAUAAGCUGAAGACUUAAAAGUCUUAAAUUUUGUUAAUUCGGAUGUUGGAUUUUGACUCCAUAUUAUGAAGGGUCAAAUUACAAUCAUGUAGGAAGAAACGGUGGGUCAAACGGAUAAGCGGUUUGAAAGAUACGAAAGUUUUCGUGCCAAUAAACGGCAAAAUAGGAAAGCUGGAAUGCAGGGGCCACCGUAACUUACGGUGUCACCGUAAGUUACGGUGGAGUUGAAGGCUUUACGGCAGCCCCCUACUGAUUUACGGUAGGGGCAUGUCACACCAGGGGCCACCGUAAGUUACGGUGCCACCGUAAGUUACGGUGGAGGCCAGUUGGGAAAUCCAUGUUUUGAGAUCAAGAGUUUAACGUUGGGAAUUCUUUUUCCUUCCAUUAUCAUUACCGGAUUUGUUUAGAUUUAUUUCAAUCCACGUAUGACUAAAGCAUUUCAUGUUUAUGAAAUGUAGGUUCAUUUUGGAUGCCGAGAGACGAUCAAGCUCAUCGAAGAACCGAACACGAUAUAGUUACAUGCUUCCGCACUUUGCCACGUUGUAUAUUUUAAACAACGAAUUCGAUCACGUUUUGUAGAAUAACUUAUGAAUUGUAAUAGUUUUAAUUUACUCGAAAUUUUCUAAGGA